UACGUAGGGUGCGAGCGUUGUCCGGAAUUAUUGGGCGUAAAGAGCUCGUAGGCGGCUUGUCGCGUCGGAUGUGAAAGCCCGGGGCUUAACUCCGGGUCUGCAUUCGAUACGGGCAGGCUAGAGUUCGGUAGGGGAGAUCGGAAUUCCUGGUGUAGCGGUGAAAUGCGCAGAUAUCAGGAGGAACACCGGUGGCGAAGGCGGAUCUCUGGGCCGAUACUGACGCUGAGGAGCGAAAAGCGUGGGGAGCGAACAGG
rnacentral:rRNA from 1 species